CACUCCUUGAUCGCACUCGCGCCUGCCUCUGUAGCAACUUAGAAAGCAAGUACCGUGCGAAGCAACCAUGGCGGAAGAAGGAACCAAGUACGCACCAAAGACCGUCAAAGACGUAGACGCGCAGGAAUUCGUC
rnacentral:ribozyme from 1 species